GCUCCUCGCGUCGAGUGUUUCUGCUGAAAUCCGUGAGCAGCAGCAAGUGGUGGAAAAAAACAAACGGAACUUAAUUGCUCUGCGCUAAGUGAGUGGAUCAGUUGUCACGAUUCAAGUGUGAACUAACAAAUUAACAAACGUUAUCGCGAACUGUGCAACGGAAGCGUAGAGUGUGUUAUAGUGGCGUUUUAAGCGAAGCCAAUAGACCGACGACGAUUUCGGGUGAUCGUUCUGCAUCGAUCGCAGAUUGAGAAGAAAAAAAGUAACAGAAAAAAAACAAUAAACAGCAACACGACAACGAUAAGAAACAAUCAGCAAGAGAGAACGAAGCCAGAAACGAUCAAGAUCGCAACAAAAAACAAAAGCAAAAAAAAAACGCACAUCAAGGCACCCCUCCUCACCCUCCCCCCUCCC